GACGAACGCUGGCGGCGUGCUUAACACAUGCAAGUCGAGCGGUAAGGCCCUUUCGGGGGUACGACGAGCGGCGAACGGGUGAGUAACACGUGGGUGACCUGCCCUCAGCUCUGGGAUAAGCCUGGGAAACCGGGUCUAAUACCGGAUAUGACUCCAUGACGCAUGUUGUGGGGUGGAAAGCCUUGUGCGGCUGAGGAUGGGCCCGC
rnacentral:rRNA from 1 species